rfam:Trichosporon asahii var. asahii CBS 8904 mitochondrion, complete sequence, whole genome shotgun sequence.
GGCACUUUAGUGUAACAGGUUAGCACGUAAGGCUCAUGAUCUCAAAGUGUGGUGUUCAAAUCCCACAGGUGCCC